CCAGUAUCAUAUGCUUGUCUCAAAGAUUAAGCCAUGCACGUCUAAGUACGAGCACUUGUACUGCGAAACUGCGAAUGGCUCAUUAAAUCAGUUAUCGUUUAUUUGAUCGUACCAUUGCUACAUGGAUAACCGUAGUAAUUCUAGAGCUAAUACAUGCGAAAAGUCCCGACUUCUGGAAGGGAUGUAUUUAUUAGAUUCAAAACCAAUGCGGGUUCACGCCCGGUCUCUUGGUGAUUCACAGUAACUGUUCGAAUCGCAUGGCCUUUGCGCCGGCGAUGUUGCAUUCAAAUUUCUGCCCUAUCAACUGUCGAUGGUAAGGUAGUGGCUUACCAGGGUUGCAACGGGUGACGGAGAAUCAGGGUUCGAUUCCGGAGAGGGAGCCUGAGAAACGGCUACCACAUCCAAGGAAGGCAGCAGGCGCGAAAAUUACCCAAUCCUGAUGCAGGGAGGUAGUGACGAAAAAUAACAAUACAGGGCUCUAUGAGUCCUGUAAUUGGAAUGAGUACAAUUUAAACCUCUUAGCGAGGAACGAUUGGAGGGCAAGUCUGGUGCCAGCAGCCGCGGUAAUUCCAGCUCCAAUAGCGUAUACUAACGUUGUUGCAGUUAAAAAGCUCGUAGUUGGAUUUCGGGAGGGUGCGGUCGGUCAGCCGCAAGGUAUGUCACUGGCCGUUCUCUCCCUCCUCGCAAAGACUGCUCGUGCUCUUAGCUGAGUGUGGGCAGGAUUCGCGACGUUUACCUUGAAAAAAUUAGAGUGCUCAAAGCAGGCCGUUGCUUGAAUACAUAAGCAUGGAAUAAUGCAAUAGGACUUUGGUUCUAUUUUGUUGGUUUCUGGAACCGAAGUAAUGAUUAACAGAGACAGUUGGGGGCAUUCGUAUUUCGUUGUCAGAGGUGAAAUUCUUGGAUUUACGAAAGACGAACUAAUGCGAAAGCAUUUGCCAAGAAUGUUUUCAUUAAUCAAGAACGAAAGUUAGAGGAUCGAAGACGAUCAGAUACCGUCCUAGUUCUAACCAUAAACGAUGCCGACUGGGGAUCAGCGGAUGUUAUUGUAUGACUCCGUUGGCACCCUAAGGGAAACCAAAGUUUUUGGGUUCCGGGGGAAGUAUGGUUGCAAAGCUGAAACUUAAAGGAAUUGACGGAAGGGCACCACCAGGAGUGGAGCCUGCGGCUUAAUUUGACUCAACACGGGAAAACUUACCAGGUCCAGACAUAGUAAGGAUUGACAGAUUGAGAGCUCUUUCUUGAUUCUAUGGAUGGUGGUGCAUGGCCGUUCUUAGUUG
rnacentral:rRNA from 1 species